UACAGAGGUCCCAAGCGUUGUUCGGAUUCAUUGGGCGUAAAGCGCGUGUAGGCGGUCCGGUAAGUCCGCUGUGAAAGUCGGGGGCUCAACCCUCGGAUGCCGGUGGAUACUGUCGGGCUUGAGUACGGAAGAGGCGAGUGGAAUUCCUGGUGUAGCGGUGAAAUGCGCAGAUAUCAGGAGGAACACCCGUGGCGAAGGCGGCUAUCUGGGCUGGAACUGACGCUGAGGCGCGAAGGCUAGGGGAGCAAACAGG
rnacentral:rRNA from 1 species